rnacentral:rRNA from 1 species
AGUGAACGCUGGCGGUAGGCCUAACACAUGCAAGUCGAACGGCAGCACAGUAAGAGCUUGCUCUUACGGGUGGCGAGUGGCGGACGGGUGAGGAAUACAUCGGAAUCUACUUUUUCGUGGGGGAUAACGUAGGGAAACUUACGCUAAUACCGCAUACGACCUACGGGUGAAAGCAGGGGAUCUUCGGACCUUGCGCGAUUGAAUGAGCCGAUGUCGGAUUAGCUAGUUGGCGGGGUAAAGGCCCACCAAGGCGACGAUCCGUAGCUGGUCUGAGAGGAUGAUAGGCGACACUGGAACGUAGACACGGUCCAGACCCCUAAGGGAGGCAGCAGUGGGGAAUAUUGGACAAUGGGCGCAAGCCUGAUCCAGCCAUACCGCGUGGGUGAAGAAGGCCUUCGGGUUGUAAGGCCGUUUUGUUGGGAAAGAAAAGCAGCAGGUUAAUACCACGCUGUUCUGACGGUACCCAAAGAAUAAGCACCGGCUAACUUCGUG